UCUGUCUCCAAUCGACACCACGAGACAAACUGUCCCUUUACUUCUCACUCUACACUGUGUCCUUUCUUCUCUUCUCAGCUUAUUUCCCAAAGACCUAAGGCUCUAAUGCUUCUUUCUGCUCCCAGAAAAUGGAAACUCAAUGCCUGGGAAAAGCACAAGAAACAACUUCAGGUGCUGAAAUGGACACUUUAGCCUGUCAGUGGAAAACACUGGAAACCAGAGACGGCCCCAUGGAUGCUUAAAUGCAGGAGAACAGUAGAAAGCUCAGAAGAGAACAGAAAAUAGAAAGCCAUACAGCUUUGGAGCAACAUGAGGAUGCAAUUCAAUGAAACAUCACCUCAACUAAACUUCAAAAGUGUUAGAGAUGCUGACUAAAACCAGCACUGCGAUACAUCUCAAAGUCUCGAGUCUUCAUCAUGGGAACAGCCUGAGGAACCUGGGCCCCUCCCAGUUCAUCUUGUAUGUGAGAACGUAGAACAUCAUCCAUGGCGUUCCUGGCACAGACAAGAGCUUCCUCCACACCUUCCAGGGUUGCAUCACAUCCUUUGACCCUCUCCGUCCCUCUCCCUGUCCCCACGCCGACUCUCCAUCCAACACCGGGGCGCCCCAUACGAACAGAGCAACACCACCGUAAACACAGGCCAGCAGUGCGAACAUCCAGCCCCAGCCUGCAACGUCAAUCACAGCCAGGAGCCCCCCUCCAGCAAACACAGAGCCAGCUUUAUACCCCACAACCUGCACAGUGUUUCCCAGACCCAGCUCCCCCUGCCCCCUGAGCAGCCGCACGGCCGCUCCGUCCGCCGCAAUGUCCUGCACUGAUGCCAGGACGUUCAUGGCGAGCAGAGAGCCUGCUACACCUAUGUACUGAACAUCAGGUGAGAUGGUAGCGCUCACCAAACAGGUGAGAGCCAGACCAGCCACUGUGCCCACUAACCAGUAGCGCUUGGUGCCAGUCCGGUCCACCAGAGGAGCCCAGAGUACCUUGAGCACCCAGGGAAAAUAGAGGAUUUUGGUGAGGCUGAUGCGGGUGAGAGAGUGGCCAGCACCACGCAGGUACACCGGGAGAAGAGAAGACUGCAGGCCAUACGGAAUGCCCUGGAUGAAGUAAAGGAGACCCAGGAACACCAGUUUGUCGUUCAUCAUUGAGAAAGGCGGGUUUGGGGAGCCUCAGCUCAUGGCUGUACUCUGCAACACAAGUAUAGAGUUUGACAUGGACUUGUCAACAUAAGUUAACAUAAUGGUUUCUAUUUAAGACAAGACAACACAACUAAAUACAGUGAUAUUUUUAACUAUUAUAUAACAUCAUACUUUCUCAGUUGAUUGAUUAUGGUACAAUAAAACAACUGUAUUACAAGAUUUCUAAAAUGUUAUGAUGUUUAAACAAUCUACAUUUCUAGAACAGAAUAAAG
ensembl:lncRNA